rnacentral:lncRNA from 1 species
CUUGCAAGACAUUUCUUGCAAAUACCCCUUCCAAUGUCCAUCAUUUCAUAAAGAAAGUUUGUUCCCUUGGAGUUUAUUUCACUUUCUUCAUUUGACUUCUCCUUUGACUACAAUAGUCAUGGUCCCUAAACUCCCACUAUCUCUCUUGAAACUUAUUUCAAUUGUGUUAUACACAUCAAACAUUUUGGAGAGUAUGUUUUAUUGUUCACUACAUAGUUUACAAUAAACUUAGUGAACCAUUAGGAUAGGGA